rnacentral:rRNA from 1 species
GACGAACGCUGGCGGCGUGCUUAACACAUGCAAGUCGAACGGAAAGGCCUCUUUCUGGGGGUACUCGAGUGGCGAACGGGUGAGUAACACGUGAGUAACCUGCCCUUGACUUUGGGAUAACUUCAGGAAACUGGGGCUAAUACCGGAUAGGAGCUCCUGCUGCAUGGUGGGGGUUGGAAAGUUUCGGCGGUUGGGGAUGGACUCGCGGCUUAUCAGCUUGUUGGUGGGGUAGUGGCUUACCAAGGCUUUGACGGGUAGCCGGCCUGAGAGGGUGACCGGCCACAUUGGGACUGAGAUACGGCCCAGACUCCUACGGGAGGCAGCAGUGGGGAAUAUUGCACAAUGGGUGGAAGCCUGAUGCAGCAACGCCGUGUGCGGGAUGACGGCCUUCGGGUUGUAAACCGCUUUCGCUCAUGACGAAGCUUUGUGUGACGGUAGUGGGUAAAGAAGCACCGGCGAACUACGU